rnacentral:rRNA from 1 species
GAUGAACGCUGGCGGCGUGCCUAAUACAUGCAAGUCGAGCGAACAGACGAGGAGCUUGCUCCUCUGACGUUAGCGGCGGACGGGUGAGUAACACGUGGAUAACCUACCUAUAAGACUGGGAUAACUUCGGGAAACCGGAGCUAAUACCGGAUAAUAUAUUGAACCGCAUGGUUCAAUAGUGAAAGACGGUUUUGCUGUCACUUAUAGAUGGAUCCGCGCCGCAUUAGCUAGUUGGUAAGGUAACGGCUUACCAAGGCAACGAUGCGUAGCCGACCUGAGAGGGUGAUCGGCCACACUGGGACUGAGCCACGGUCCAGACUCCUACGGGAGGCAGCAGUAGGGAAUCUUCCGCAAUGGGCGAAAGCCUGACGGAGCAACGCCGCGUGAGUGAUGAAGGUCUUCGGAUCGUAAAACUCUGUUAUUAGGGAAGAACAAAUGUGUAAGUAACUAUGCACGUCUUGACGGUACCUAAUCAGAAAGCCACGGCUAACUACGUG